AGGGGUGUCGCCUAAUGGAAAGGUAGCUGGCUUUGAACCAGCCUACGGUGGUUCGAUUCCACCCGCCCUUGCCA
rnacentral:tRNA from 1 species